AUUUCAAAUAGUCGUGUUCGGAAAAUUAAGACAUCGUGUUUUACAAGGUAAUCUAUCUGAUCAAGACUGAGGUAGAGAGACAAUGAUACGACAGGGUUAGAAAGUCGGUGUUGUACUGCGCACGUGGAGGACAGAAUCGCUUCACACAAAGCGACUGGCAGCUGUUCUGACCAGGCAAUGCCGAGUAAGGCAACCUAAACACACAGCGUAGGCAGGCCUGCAUGAAGAUACACGUUUCAACCACAGACGCAAUCUUUUAACUGAGAGCAGGCCUUCUUAAAUUACAGAACUACGUUACUGUAUAUUUGUGACGAACACUAGACCUACAGCUGACAAAAUACGAAGAGUCACUACCGUCUUCGCAGAACCCGCCACUGGGCCUGUCCAGCGUCCAGCAACAGAUUCAACAUUAACGAUAAGGAAUUAAAUUGUUCCACCAAGAAAAAUAUGGAUUUGAAAUUGAACAUAGUUUGGUGCAUUUUCGGGGUAUACUUUAUUUUAUUUUGAGGUAGUUCAUUUGUUACGAUGUACUUUCUUUCUAAAAAAAACGGCUACCAAAAAAUUUGAGUAUCUCUUAAUAAUAUUAUCAGACACGUCUUAUGUGUUACGUGCGAAGAAUUUAGCAAAAUCAUCAGCGAACUUACCAGUCUACUUGUGUAUUAAUUACUUUGUUUUAUCAUCUGUUGUGCACUUCGGCCAUUACAUCGCCGCUACAGGCUACUAGCUGCCCUUGUUUAACCGUGAAGGACAACUCUACUAUGCUUGCCUGCCUUUUCUUCCAAAGCAGCUAGACGGGUCCAUCCGAGCCAAGAACCAAAAGGGCUCAGAAGACCGAGUCACAGAGGUACAACAGCUCCAUCAGUACGAUUUGCCCUGCCCAGAUGCCAAAGAUGGCAACUUCUUCGUUAGAAACCGGCUGGAAGGGCUUUAAACACUCUUGACGGAGAUUAAAUU